rnacentral:rRNA from 1 species
ACGGGUGAGUAAUGCAUAGGAAUCUGCCCAGUCGUGGGGGAUAACCUGGGGAAACCCAGGCUAAUACCGCAUACGUCCUACGGGAGAAAGCGGGGGCUUCGUGUUCUUCGGAAUGGGGACCUCGCGCGAUUGGAUGAGCCUAUGUCGGAUUAGCUGGUUGGUGAGGUAACGGCUCACCAAGGCGACGAUCCGUAGCUGGUCUGAGAGGAUGAUCAGCCACACCGGGACUGAGACACGGCCCGGACUCCUACGGGAGGCAGCAGUGGGGAAUAUUGGACAAUGGGCGCAAGCCUGAUCCAGCCAUGCCGCGUGUGUGAAGAAGGCUUUCGGGUUGUAAAGCACUUUCAGUGGGGAAGAAGGCCUGGCGGUCAAUACCCGCCAGGGACGACAUCACCCACAGAAGAAGCACCGGCUAACUCCGUGCCAGCAGCCGCGGUAAUACGGAGGGUGCGAGCGUUAAUCGGAAUUACUGGGCGUAAAGCGCGCGUAGGCGGCCAAGUAAGCCGGUUGUGAAAGCCCCGGGCUCAACCUGGGAAUGGCAUCCGGAACUGGUUGGCUAGAGUGCAGGAGAGGAAGGUAGAAUUCCCGGUGUAGCGGUGAA